GACGAACGCUGGCGGCGUGCUUAACACAUGCAAGUCGAGCGGAGCGGCGAACGGGAGAGUAACGCGUGAGGAACUGCCCCCCUCCCUGGGAUAACAGUUGGAAACGGCUGCUAAUACCGGAUAGGGGGGGGGGACUCGCGUCCUAUCAGAUUGUUGGUGGGGGAGUGGACUACCAAGGCGACGACGGGUAGCCGGACUGGGAGGGCGAACGGCCACCUUGGGGUGGGGUACGGCACAAAAGCCUACGGGAGGCAGCAAUGGGGAAUAAUGGAGAAUGGGGGAAACCCUGAUGCAGCAGCGCCGCGUGGGGAUGACGGCCUUCGGGUUGUAAACCGCUUUCAGCCAUGACGCGGUAGUGGCAGAAGAAGCACCGGCUAACUACGUGCCAGCAGCCGCGGUAAUAC
rnacentral:rRNA from 1 species